rnacentral:hammerhead_ribozyme from 1 species
AUCCAGAUGACAAGUCCUGAAUAGAACGAAACGCACAUCCUGGAU